rnacentral:rRNA from 1 species
UGAGUACGAGAUGCUACGGCAUCGAAGCAGUCUAUGUCAUACUUCCAAGAAAAGCUUGCACUGUCAUAAACAAAGAAUGCCUGUACCAUAACCGACACAGGUGGGUAGGUAGAGUAUACUAAGGGGCGCGAGAUAACUCUCUCUAAGGAACUCGGCAAAAUGACUCCGUAACUUCGGGAGUAGGAGUGCCUUAUUUCUAAGGUUGCAAUAACAAGAUCCAAGCAACUGUUUACCAAAAACACAGGUCUCCGCUAAGUCGUAAGACGAUGUAUGGGGGCUGACGCCUGCCCAGUGCCAGAAGGUUAAAGAAGUUGGUUAGCAUUAGCGAAGCUGAUAACUGAAGCCCUGGUGAACGGCGGCCGUAACUAUAACGGUCCUAAGGUAGCGAAAUUCCUUGUCGGGUAAGUUCCGACCCGCACGAAAGGCGUAAUGAUUUGGAUACUGUCUCGGAGAGGGGCUCGGUGAAAUAGACUUGUCUGUGAAGAUGCGGACUACCUGCACCUGGACAGAAAGACCCUAUGAAGCUUUACUGUAACUUGAGAUUGAAAUUGGACUUUAUUUGCGCAGUAUAGGUGGGAGGCGUUGAGAAUAAUCUUGCGGGAUUGUUGGAGCCAUCAGUGAGAUACCACUCUUGUAAUGUUAGAUUUCUAACUUUGUAUCAUUAUCUGGUCAAAGAACAGUUUCAGGCGGGCAGUUUGACUGGGGCGGUCGCCUCCCAAAGGGUAACGGAGGCGCACAAAGGUUUCCUCUGAACGGGUAGAAAUCGUAUCUAGAGUGUAAAGGCAUAAGGAAGCUUGACUGUGAGACCUACAAGUCGAGCAGGGACGAAAGUCGGUCUUAGUGAUCUGACGGUGCUGAGUGGAAAGGCCGUCACUCAACGGAUAAAAGUUACUCUAGGAUAACAGGCUGAUCUCCCCCAAGAGUUCACAUCGACGGGGAGGUUUGGCACCUCGAUGUCGGCUCAUCGCAUCCUGGGGCGGUAGUCCGUCCCAAGGGUUGGGCUGUUCGCCCAUGAAAGCGGUACGCGAGCUGGGUUCAGAACGUCGUGAGACAGUUCGGUCCAUAUCCGGUGUAGGCGUUAGAAUAUUGAGAGGAGCCUUCUCUAGUACGAGAGGACCGAGAAGGACAUACCUCUGGUGUACCAGUUAUCGUGCCAACGGUAAACGCUGGGUAGCUAUGUAUGGAGUGGAUAACCGCUGAAAGCAUCUAAGUGGGAAGCCCACCACAAGAUAAGUAUUCUC